GCCGCCCCCCGCCCCGGGUGAGGGCCUGGGACGGGGACCACGGGCCCAGGAGGGAACCGGGAACCGGGGCAGGUCCCGGGAACCAGGGCUGCAGGCUGUUUGGAGCAGGGACUUCUCAUUGUAUUACUAAAUGCAUCUAUCAUGCCUGGCAAAACCAGAGCUAAUGUGUUUUGGAAGACCAUCAAUACAAAAAUCCAUUUUUUGUGAAUCAUGCAAGCUGGCAAUGACAUCUUCGGUAUCUGCUGCAGUCUGAGAAAUCUGUUCUAUAGUUUCCUACCUGCUGUACUGCAGAGUCUGAUGAAAAUUCAGCUGCUGUGAGAAACAUGUGGCACCAACACUCUAUGAUGACUCAAGAGCUGGCAGGGAGCCCCACAGUUUUGCUGAG